rnacentral:rRNA from 1 species
UACGUAGGGUGCGAGCGUUGUCCGGAAUUAUUGGGCGUAAAGAGCUUGUAGGCGGUCUGUCGCGUCUGCUGUGAAAAUCCGGGGCUCAACCCCGAGCCUGCAGUCGAUACGGGCAAACUAGAGUGCUGUAGGGGAGACUGGAAUUCCUGGUGUAGCGGUGAAAUGCGCAGAUAUCAGGAGGAACACCGGUGGCGAAGGCGGGUCUCUGGGCAGUAACUGACGCUGAGGAGCGAAAGCGUGGGGAGCGAACAGG